ensembl:lncRNA
GGGGACCUCGACGAUACAGAGACAGGAGGGGACCUCGACGAUACAGAGACAGGAGGGGACCUCGACGAUACAGAGACAGGAGGGGACCUCGACGAUACAGAGAGAAACAAAGACCUGCUUCUCCAACGCUCCUCCUCCACAGGACCUCCACCACAGCACCCUCUCCUCCUCCACAGGACCCGCUCCUCCACCACAGGACCCGCUCCUCCUCCACAGGACCUCCACCACAGGACCCUCUCCUCCUCCACAGGACCCGCUCCUCCACCACAGGACCCGCUCCUCUGUAGGUGCUGGACCUCUGUAGGUACUGGACUUCUGGACCUCUUUAGGUACUGGACCUCUGUAGGUACUGCACCUCCAUUGCCGAACAUGUAGCACCCACCUGUGUGAUGCCACAGCUUCUGAAAGGUGCAAUUUGAAUUGACUGGUAUUUAAAUGGAAUUGAUCCCAACCCUGUGUUCUAUAACCGUAACUGCUGUUUAAAGACCGAGACUGUGAGACAAAGUGCCAGUCGUGUUUACAUUCAUAUCCAAUAGGACUUGGAAGGGAUAUAACGUCUGUGGAAGAGAUUACUGCUAGCAUACUGGAAAAGCACAGUUAGUUUAUUCUAUCCUGGUCCCAGAUCUGUUUUGUGCUGUGUAGCCAACUCCUGUUGCAUUUGACAAGACAACACAAGCAGAUCUAGAACCAGGCUAAGAUUGUUGUAGGUGUAGUAUAGGAUUUAGACUGAUUCUUGGGUUACAAAGAACUCCACUAUAAAACACUGUUGUUUUUCUGUAAGUAGCGUUUGUUGUAGGUUUUCAUAUGUUUGAUGUGCGGUUUUCUGUUUGUUGUAUGUGGCAUUGUUAUUAGAGAUUGGGAAUCUGCAUUGUGUGUGUGUGUGUUUCUACUGUCUAAGUGCCUGACUACUCAUAAGCUAAAGAGAACCAAAAUGGCGAUCUGCUUUCUGCACUGCUGAGAUCACAAUGAUCGUUUCUAUCACUGUAUAAUGGAGAGAGAGAGAGAGAGAGAGACCGAGGUGUUUUCUAUAGGUAUGGUCAGGUCUGCCAUUAUUACCCCCCUUGAUACAGAUGAGCAAAAUAAUUCUAUACAAAAGACUAAUUCUGAGCGAUAUUGCCUGCUCAACAAAAUGGGGAAAUGGUAUAUAUUUUUAUUUUUUUAUAUCAAUACAAUUGCUCAGCGAAAGAGAACUAUAUUUUCAUGUCAUCUGACCAUAGCACCGCCUGGUGUUUCCACCGCCUGGUGUUUGCUAAACGGCAUAGGAACCGGUGCUUUGGUCAGAUGACCUGUAAAUAGAGCUCCUCAACGCACAACAGAGGUGGGUUUGGCGUUGAGGAACAGAAGCAGGAACGAACCUCCGUACCUACUGUAAAAUAUGGGGGUGGAUGUUUUGAUGUUAUGGGGCUGUUUUGUUUCCACUGAUCAUGGGACACUUGUUUAAGGUCAACGGCAUCAGGAACUGUAUCCAGUACCAGGACAGUGUGUGUGUGUGGAUGAUAAUGACCCCCAGGACGAAUCGAACCUUUACACACACAUCUAGAUGCUGCAAUGGUCACCUCAGUCCCCGGACUUUUGAUUCUGUGUGGAGGAAUGGAUUAAGAUCCCUACCAACGUGUUCUCCAGUCACAUAAAACAUUUUAGAAAUGGGCUCAGUGGUGGGGUUUCUUUUUGUAUGUAUUUCCUGUUCAACAAAAUCUCAUUCUCUGAGCAAUUGUUUUGUUAUAAAAUAGUAUAAUUUGCACCCUUUUUUUUUUUUUGCAUGAAAUAUAUCUCAGUAUUUUACAUUGUUUUAUUUAUACAAUAUUUUUUUUUGCUUAUCUUUAUCCAGGGUGCCAAUAAAUAUGGACCUGGUUGUAUCUGGGGUUUUGUUUUUGGGUUUAAUCACACUAAAAAUGUAACUUGUUGUAUCAAAUUGUUCUAUUUAGUUGUGUACUGUAUAAAAAAAACCACUACUGCAUUUGUUGGUUGUUGCUGUGGUUGUUGCUGUGGUUGUUGCUGUGGUUGUCUACGGCCAGUAAAACAGUGAGAUUUGAAAAUGUUUCUUUCUUUCUAAGACUUUCCUUACCAUGUUGCAAAGCUUGACUUGCUGUCGGUUAACGCCAAAAGAUUGUUUUGCUGGUGUGGUGGGUUGUGGAUGCUGUCUGUGUGUUCAGGCGGUGUUUUUAUAUGACAAUCAUGGUGACACUUAUUACUCAAUAUUAAAUCUAUUUCCUGGGAUGUAUAAAAUACUGUGU